ACGUAGGUGGCAAGCGUUGUCCGGAAUUAUUGGGCGUAAAGCGCGCGCAGGCGGUUCCUUAAGUCUGAUGUGAAAGCCCCCGGCUCAACCGGGGAGGGUCAUUGGAAACUGGGGAACUUGAGUGCUGAAGAGGAAAGCGGAAUUCCACGUGUAGCGGUGAAAUGCGUAGAGAUGUGGAGGAACACCAGUGGCGAAGGCGGCUUUCUGGUCAGUAACUGACGCUGAGGCGCGAAAGCGUGGGGAGCAAACAGG
rnacentral:rRNA from 1 species